rnacentral:lncRNA from 1 species
AUCUAGAAGUAGAAAGAUCCAUUGAUGGUAGAUUAUAGUUUUGUAAGAUUUAUUCCAAGAUAUCUACCAUCUUACAACACUCAAGGAUGCUUCAAUUGCUGAAUGUAAAGGAAACAACAAUGAGCAUUUGACCUUCAGGAAGAACGUGCAGGAUCGAGAGGUAGAAAUAGUUGCUCUUUUCCUUAAUAGAUUGAAGGGUACUCAAACUUAUUAAAAUUGUUUGUCUUUUCUGUCUGAUUAGUAAUCUGUUGAAAAAUUAGGCCCCGCAAAUAAAAUAUAAAGUAGAUAAGAUAUGAAAUAUGAAGAAAAUGAAAAAUAGCAUGUUGAUGACAAUAUAUUUAGAAGCCAUUCUAAUUAGUUAAACUUGCAAGUUUAUUCUUAUUUGUUCUUAAUAUCACAUGUAGAGAGAAGUGUUAUAUUCCACAAAGACUUGUCAUACUUUUUAAUAAUAUAAGUCUCUUUCAGUAUUUGUUGGAAAGCUUCUGCUUAUUGACUCGCAUAUAUACGCAUAGAAAUAAUCUUAGUGAUGGUGCUUGCAGGUUGCUGCUGGAUUGUUUUCUAUGUGCGUGAGAUGAGUAAAGUAAAAAGUGGCAAUGAGUGAAAGAGGAAAAGAAAACUGGUAGUUAAACAAGUCAGUAUGAUCUACAAUCUAUCAAAGCACCUAAAUAUUUUUAUCUGGAUCUGCACCUUAUCUCAUAUAAGGCAACAAUAGUACGUUAGUUUAUUUGAUAACUUGUUUACUCAUACUUCUUAAUUCUAUUCUGAUAAAUGAAAUGGUAGAAUUAAUUUAUAAGUAUUUCUCUAGUAGCCAUAUUUCUAUUUAUUUUAAAAGUUUAUUUGCCAAGUACUUCAACGACUUUUAUCCGCUAAGAGUGCUGAUCUUUUUAAGAUUUUUGAGAAAAUUAGAUUUUCCCCUUUCAAUAUCCCCCUUCCCCCCUCCAAUUAAUGCUUUCACAUAUUUAAACCCCUCCAACAUUAUAGUACUCAUCUAAUAUUAUCUAAUUGCAUCUGGCAUAGAGAGUUUUUUCAAAUAGUAGCAGGCUAUAACAAACAAUGCAUAUUUUUUUGUCUCAAUUGCAGGUAUGGGAAGGCAAAACCACUGAAAAUAACAAAGAGAUUACAAUUAGGGAACUUAAGGCCCAAAAACUUUCAGAAGUUUUUGCUCAUUUGAACAAGGAAAGCUCACAUGUUGCUUAGAUUACUAGAGUGGUCAAGCUGCCGAAAAUAGAUCAGUUGCAAAAUUAGGAGAUUGGUGUGAAGGGUGAUAAGGACCAAGGGAUAACAAAUUGGGUUUCUAAUGUAUACUAGCUUUAGCAAUAUAAUGUGUUUUAAAGUGUUAUUCAUGAUAGAAUACAUCAGAUAUUGUAUAAUUCAUUUCUAGUAGCUUACCUUUAGAAAAUUUGCUUUAUUAGUUAAUGUAGUACAUGAUACAUAUUUCUUUUUCAAAGUUCAUUGUAAGUCUAUGCACUUGAAUCUAUUUUUUGGUUAUUUAUAUGUUGAUUAAUGUUGCGUUUAAGAUC